AAUGGUAAUCCUCCUUAGA
rnacentral:tRNA from 1 species